AUUGCUCAGUUGCUUUGUGUAAGAAAAUAUAGCCUAGUAUAUUCAAUAGACACUCAAAAACAAAACAUAAGAAAAUGGUGAGGAUAAAAUGAAGAAAAGGUGAUUCAACGUAUACUUUGUGCGUGUAAAGUUUGGAUCUAAAGCAAACUGUUUAACAACAACAACAAUUAAAACCUUGUUUAAACUAAAAGUAAACAGAAACACUUACUGUAGGAUGGAAUGUCUACUUCUUGAGUUUCCUUGCUACACAAUCAGAUGUCCAACACAAAUUAAUAAAAGAGGUUUGACGCUGAAAAGAACUCAGAGUCUGCUCUAUAUGUCAGUAAAUCUUAGAAUAGUGUCUAGGUGUUAAGGGGUUGCCACAGUUUAACACUAACCACUAAAACAGAUGUGCAAAGACAACUCUUAAUAACAGGAUGUGUGAGAUUUGACUGUUCUAAAUGUUCUAAAGAAUAUCCGUUUAGAAUCAUAUAAACAAUUAUGUUAAAAGGAAUCACCCAACUGCCUGCUGUGAUGCGAUGAACACCAGCAAUAAAGAUGUUUUUUUCUUCACCCUUGGUUGGUGGACGCACUGGCAUCUUGUCAGACAGAAGGAAAACAGUCAGGAUAGGGGGAACAUCGUGGACACCAUUUAAAGACACUGCUCCAUGCAGUUAGGAAAAACAUGUGGUUUAAUUAUACAGUGUUGUAGACACAGUUUGAAGAGUGGAUACUCAGAUUUUUUUUCAUUUUUCAGAAACAUGAACGCUGGAAGCUGUCAGGUGGGGACAGAGCUGUCUGAAACAAGAGGUUUCUCUGUAUAAUGUCAGGAAUGCGGUCUUUCCUCCAACAUACGUGUGAACCUCAUAAAAACAUGUCCAAAAACAUGUCCAAACAUGAUCGCCGGAAAAGGGAGAAAAAUGUUCGGUAAACGUACGGGACAAAAGUUCAACUUGAGACAUGGACAAUCACUCACAACGUGGACAGAUACUCCCAAAGGGCAAAAGUUCACCAUGACGUGGGCAGUACCACACUAAGGGGGCGGAUACGGUCAAAGGUUAACGCAAAGGGGGAGGCCCCCUCGCAACGUGGGUGGUCCGGAAGUAAUUCAACCCCCCCCCACAAAGGUCAAUGACCCCAUCAAUCAUACCUGUCAAUCAUUUUGACACUAUGACCCGCAUAUAUACUACUCCCCUGGACUCUUGUGUUCCCUUAUUGUUAUUUAUCAUGUUUCCCUGUUUUUUUUUUUUGUCGGUGUCACAGUCUGUUUUGUCUUGUUUGUCACCUUGAGGAGCGCCAGGAUGUCGCUCCUUAAGGGGGAGCUUCUGUCAUGAUUCUGCCUCGUUAUGUCAUGUCUUUCUUGGUGUUGUGGCAGGAUCAUGGCAGAGCCUCAUGUUUUGUGUGGAGAGAGACAUUUAUUGUUGUUGUGGCUUGCCAUACACUCUCUGCGAUCUCGUGUCUGCUCCCGCCAUCUCGUUUCCUCAUUAUUGAUCAUUAAUUAGUUCAUGCCCUGCACCUGUUCCCCUCUUGAUUUAUCCCCUUUAUAAUGCCCUUGUGUUUUCUAUCUUGUGCUGGUUCAUAGUGAUUGUAUGGUGAGUUCCUGUGUCUUGUCAAGUUUAGUCUAGUGUAGUCAUUUGUAAAUUAUGUCAAGUGUUAACUUUAGUCUUGUUUAAGUGUAGUUAGUCUUAGUCCUGUCUUGUCAUGUUAUUAUAUUGCCCUGGUUUUUUUUGUUUUACCCCCCGUGGGUUUUUGGUUUUGUCUUUAUUAUUAUUAUUAUUAUUAUUAAACGUCUUGUU